rnacentral:tRNA from 1 species
GGGGCGGUAGCUCAGUUGGUAGAGCACCUGCUUUGCAAGCAGGAAGUCGGCGGUUCGAGUCCGCUCCGCUCCA